AAUGCCAAAUUCUGAGCAGAAUUUUAGGUUGAAUUGGGCGGCUCUUGGAUAUGGAGAAAAGAGGCAAGAAGAGGGUCCCGAUUACACAAUCUUUGUUGGGGAUUUAGCUGCAGAUGUUUCUGAUUACAUGUUACAAGAGACUUUUAAAGCUGUUUACCCAUCUGUUAAGAGUGCCAAAGUGGUUACUGAUAGGACUAGCUGCUAAUAAGAAGCCUGUAACUGAUCAGCAGUAUCAGAAAGUCUUCUUAAAAUUCAAGUUCUUUCAGUUAUGGCGGAAUUUAUACAAAGUCGUUUCCUUCCAGUUUGCCUAGGACAUCAAGAGACUCUUAUUUUGGGGGGCCUGGAACUGAUAUCAGCUGAAAUGAUUCCACUUUAAUCCGUGGCCUCAUUUUAGGUCAGUUACUUUGUUAUGUCAAAAGCUUUCUUUUCUCGUGGCAAUAUUUUCUGAUAAGUAAAUUUGCGUGAGAGAAACUGAACCGCAAAAUAGAGUAUAUAUGUCCACAUUUUGUUCAUGGUUCACAACUUGCUUAGUAUUUCAGUUUGUGGGACAAUCUUUGUUACUCCCGUAGAAAAGUUUGGGUGUUUAAUGAUUUUACAGAUGCUACGUAUAAUAAAGAUUUUAUAGCCUUCUUGACGGGGUACAGAUGUUUAUACCUUCACUUUCACUGUUCUAAUCUUGGAGACAGAAUGCAUUUUUCUCUUUUUUUUCUCUCUUGAUUUUUGCUUUUAUUAGCUGCUGAAGUGAGCCAUCUUUUGGAAUCUGUGGUUGUCUUAGGUACUGGUCCUUUUGAAAUUUAGUACAGUGCUUUAUUUUGUUACAGCUGAGGUUGUGGCAGGAUCAACACUGUCCUGCUUUAAG